rnacentral:tRNA from 1 species
UGACCUAUGGUGUAAAGGUAACACAUCUGAUUUUGGUUCAGUCGUUCUAGGUUCGAAUCCUAGUAGGUCAACUA